GCCGGCCUAGCUCAAUUGGUAGAGCAACUGACUUGUAAUCAGUAGGUUGGGGGUUCGAGUCCUCUGGCCGGCACCA
rnacentral:tRNA from 6 species